rnacentral:rRNA from 1 species
UUCACCUGCGGGACGCAGCAGUGGGGAAUAUUGGGCAAUGGGCGCAAGCCUGACCCAGCAACGCCGCGUGAAGGAAGAAGGCUUUCGGGUUGUAAACUUCUUUUCUCAGGGACGAAGCAAGUGACGGUACCUGAGGAAUAAGCCACGGCUAACUACGUGCCAGCAGCCGCGGUAAUACGUAGGUGGCAAGCGUUAUCCGGAUUUACUGGGUGUAAAGGGCGUGUAGGCGGGAAAGCAAGUCAGAUGUGAAAACCAUGGGCUCAACCUGUGGCCUGCAUUUGAAACUGUUUCUCUUGAGUAAUGGG